AUGGAAGAUGCUCUUUCAUUCUGGACCGUCCAUCACAAGGGAAGGGACCAAAUAAUCAAAGGUGUAGAGACAGUACAAUAUACAUCAGAUAUUGCAUUAGGCAUGUGCCUCUGCUCUGAUAAGAAGGUAAAAUUUCUGGUGGAAAAAAAAGAAAUAUAAUUGUACAAGUUCUUGUUCUUGUAUAUCUUCACAAAGGGUUGAAUAUAAUUAGUUCUUUGAGGGGGAAAAAAAUAGGAAAAUGA
rnacentral:lncRNA from 1 species